rnacentral:tRNA from 1 species
GGGGAUACAGCUCAGUGGUAGAGCACUUGCCUAGUAGGUAAAAGGCCAUGGGCUCAAACCCUAAUACCAUCA